AAAUAUUUUCCUAGCAUAUCUUUCUGCAACUUCAUCACUCUCUCCGUUUCAAUUUGUUUGUUUAGUCCGUUUAAAAAAGAAUGCCUCUUUCCUUCUUUUGGCAACUUCUUAAUUCCAACUUUCCACGCGAUAUGGUCUUAUUGUUUGUUUAGUCCGUUUAAAAAAGAAUGCCUCUUUCCUUCUUUUGGCAACUUCUUAAUUCCAACUUUCCACGCGAUAUGGUCUUAUUGUUUGUUUAGUCCGUUUAAAAAAGAAUGCCUCUUUCCAUUUUUGACAACUUUUUAAUUCCAACUUUCCAC
rnacentral:lncRNA from 1 species